rnacentral:rRNA from 1 species
GACGAGCGCUGGCGGCGUGCUUAACACAUGCAAGUCGAACGGAAAGGCCCUACUUUUGUGUGGUUCUCGAGUGGCGAACGGGUGAGUAACACGUGAGUAACCUUCCCUUGACUGUGGGAUAACUUCAGGAAACUGGGGCUAAUACCGGAUAGGAGCUCCUGCUGCAUGGUGGUGGUUGGAAAAUGUCGGCGGUUGGGGAUGUACUCGCGGCUUAUCAGCUUGUUGGUGGGGUAGUGGCUUACCAAGGCUUUGACGGGUAGCCGGCAUGAGAGGGUGACCAGCCACAUUGGGACUGAGAUACGGAGCAGACUGCUACGGGAGGCAGUAGUGGGGAAUAUUGCACAAUGGGCGGAAGCGUGAUGCAGAAACGCCGCGUGCGGGAUGACGGCCUUCGGGUUGUAAACCGCUUUCGCAUGUGACGAAGCGUGAGUGACGGUAAUGGGUAAAGAAGCACCGGCUAACUACGUG